rfam:Salmo salar isolate Sally breed double haploid chromosome ssa27, whole genome shotgun sequence.
GGGGAAGUAGCUCAAAUGUUAGAGUGCUUGCUUAGCAUGCGAGAGGUAGUGGGGUCGAUGCCCACAUUCUCCA